GUCCCUCUGCUCCGUUUCCAGUAACAUCACUGGACCAAUUUGUCUUCCCAUACAGCCGCGUAGGCUACUAUUGGCUACUCUUCGUGCAGCCCAUUCUCCCCCUGCCAUGAGCUUGUACACUGUGCCGGGACAGCCCGUCAGUCAGCGGGCCUCUCAGGGACUUACUUGGUGAGUGUUUGCUGCUGGUGGGCCGGCGAGGCUUUCGACGCAGCGGAGGAGGUUCUGAGCAGACGCGGGUAUAAAAGGGUGAGCAGUCAGUGAGGGGUGAGGUGGCGAUAUAACAUCCUGCAGGGUCAAUUACAUCAGGGUUUGUAUGUAAGCAGCCAGAGGACUGCAGCCAGAGGACUGCAGCCAGAGGACUGCAGCCAGAGGACUGCAGCCAGUGGACUGAGGAGCCUUGCAGGUGAAUCACAGUCCUGGAGAUCCACAUUAAUAUUAACAGCUUGCCCGCUGUGUGUGUGGAAGACUGAGGCAUUUUCCUCAAGCUAAAAAUCACUGUUUUUUGACAGUGUUUGACUGUGUGUCUGUCGCCCAGAAGCUGUUUCACCUCCGGGUGUGGAUCUUUGACAUGGA